UGCCAGCCGCCGCGGUAAUACGGAGGGGGUUAGCGUUGUUCGGAAUUACUGGGCGUAAAGCGCGCGUAGGCGGCUAUUUAAGUCAGAUGUGAAAGUCCACGGCCCAACCGUGGAAGUGCAUUUGAAACUGGAUGGCUUGAGUACUGGAGGGGGUGGUGGAAUUCCCGGUGUAGAGGUGAAAUUCGUAGAUAUCGGGAGGAAUACCGGUGGCGAAGGCGACCACCUGGCUCGCAACUGACGCUGAGGCGCGAAAGCGUGGGCAGCAAACAGGAUUAGAUA
rnacentral:rRNA from 1 species